rnacentral:ncRNA from 3 species
GACCCCAGGUCAGGCGGGAUU